GUGCAGCAGUCGAGAAUAGUCUACAAUGGACGAAAGUCUGAUAGUGCGACGCCGUGUGUGCGAUUAAUUCCUUCGGGGAUGUAAAGCACUUUUCUAUGAGAUAAAAGCUCUUUAGGUUAAUAGCUUAUUGAGACGGAUAUUAUUAUAGGAAUAAGCUCCGGCUAACUCCGUGCCAGCAGCCGCGGUAACACGGAAGGAGCGAGCGUUGUCCGGAUUUACUAGGCGUAAAGGGCUAGUAGGCGACUAAUUAAG
rnacentral:rRNA from 1 species